CUACGUGCCAGCAGCCGCGGUAAUACGUAGGUCCCGAGCGUUGUCCGGAUUUAUUGGGCGUAAAGCGAGCGCAGGCGGUUAGAUAAGUCUGAAGUUAAAGGCUGUGGCUUAACCAUAGUACGCUUUGGAAACUGUUUAACUUGAGUGCAAGAGGGGAGAGUGGAAUUCCAUGUGUAGCGGUGAAAUGCGUAGAUAUAUGGAGGAACACCGGUGGCGAAAGCGGCUCUCUGGUCUGUAACUGACGCUGAGGCUCGAAAGCGUGGGGAGCGAACAGGAUUAGAUACCCUGGUAGUCCACGCCGUAAACGAUGAGUGCUAGGUGUUGGAUCCUUUCCGGGAUUCAGUGCCGCAGCUAACGCAUUAAGCACUCCGCCUGGGGAGUACGACCGCAAGGUUGAAACUCAAAGGAAUUGACGGGGGCCCGCACAAGCGGUGGAGCAUGUGGUUUAAUUCGAAGCAACGCGAAGAACCUUACCAGGUCUUGACAUCCCGAUGCUAUUUCUAGAGAUAGAAAGUUACUUCGGUAC
rnacentral:rRNA from 1 species